rnacentral:rRNA from 1 species
GACGUAGGGCUGCAGCGUUGUCCGGAAUUAUUGGGCGUAAAGAGCUCGUAGGCGGUCUGUCGCGUCUGCUGUGAAAUCCCGAGGCUCAACCUCGGGUCUGCAGUCGAUACGAGCAAACUAGAGUGUUGCAGGGGAGACUGGAAUUCCUGGUGUAGCGGUGAAAUGCGCAGAUAUCAGGAGGAACACCGGUGGCGAAGGCGGGUCUCUGGGCAACAACUGACGCUGAGGAGCGAAAGCGUGGGGAGCGAACAGG